GCGGAGGGAUCAUUACACAAAUAUGAAGGCGGGCUGGAACCUCUCGGGGUUACAGCCUUGCUGAAUUAUUCACCCUUGUCUUUUGCGUACUUCUUGUUUCCUUGGUGGGUUCGCCCACCACUAGGACAAACAUAAACCUUUUGUAAUUGCAAUCAGCGUCAGUAACAAAUUAAUAAUUACAACUUUCAACAACGGAUCUCUUGGUUCUGGCAUCGAUGAAGAACGCAGCGAAAUGCGAUAAGUAGUGUGAAUUGCAGAAUUCAGUGAAUCAUCGAAUCUUUGAACGCACAUUGCGCCCUUUGGUAUUCCAAAGGGCAUGCCUGUUCGAGCGUCAUUUGUACCCUCAAGCUUUGCUUGGUGUUGGGCGUCUUGUCUCUAGCUUUGCUGGAGACUCGCCUUAAAGUAAUUGGCAGCCGGCCUACUGGUUUCGGAGCGCAGCACAAGUCGCACUCUCUAUCAGCAAAGGUCUAGCAUCCAUUAAGCCUUUUUUUCAACUUUUGACCUCGGAUCAGGUAGGGAUACCCGCUGAACUUAAGCAUAUCAAUAGGCCCGGAGGAA
rnacentral:rRNA from 1 species